ensembl:snoRNA small nucleolar RNA SNORA81
AACAGAAUACACAAGAACUAUGGGACAAUUACAAAGAGUGUAACAUAUGCUAGCAGAGUACACACAAGAAGAAAAGUAACUGCACUAGAUGAUAAAGACUGGGGUGGACCUCUUUCUUAAUGUCCAGUGUCCUUUGUCUUAAAAUUUGGUGCAACAUGU